ensembl:lncRNA
GGGCGACCUGGCCAAGAAGGCAGCAGCACACGUCGUUUAAAAAGAGCCAUAAAACACCUAUACAUGACAUGAGUGAAACCACAAUACACAUUAAGUUAAAAACAAAAUACAAAGAAAAAAUGGUCAAAAGCAGAGGCACCGUUCAAUGGAUUUUUGUUGUUUGUCCUUUAGUCACAUACUUGGUGCUUGGAAGUAUGAAUUAUCUAUUUGAUUUAUUAAUUGGAGCUAUCGUCUCUGUUGUUGUUUUUUUACACUAGUAGGUGUUACGGUAUGUUAAAGAUUUGGGUUUUCUGUCCAUUGGGUCGACCCUGUUUUAUCAACUUGAGAUCCCGAUGAAUAAAAUAAAGUCAAAUUGGAGACUGUAUCACACAGAGAGAGAUUGAAUAUACCCUGGUGUAAAUUGUAUGUUUUAAUUAUGGCUCCACACUAUUCUUAAUGUUCUUUAUUCAACAAUGGCUUCUACUCUGGCCUGCACAGGUUUUAUUUUUGCACAUAGACCAAAUGAAAUACCUCAAUUCAAUCCGUUGAUAUAGAUUCAUAAUCUACAUCAACUCAGGUCAGAUCAGCUCAGGUAACAGUCAGAGAUUAGGCAGGGCCACAAUCAAAAUAAACAUAAAUACCAUUUUAUGUUUUUUAGACAAUGGCCUGCCACGAGUGAAACGAAAAAAAACACACCAAGCUGCAUAAUAUUUCUGAUGAGGAGACUGUUUGUAAUGUGCAUUGGGCACAUUUUGCAGUUAAAAGCCAGUACUGCUUUCAAAACCAAUCUGGUGUGUCAGACUGGCGUAUCCACACAUAAAAAUACAGCCCUUACAGACAACCGCCACACAGAGUUCCAGAACGCCCACACUGCUUCACUGUGAAUAGAUUUAAGGUCAUUUGAUUUAUGUCAUAAUUUCCCGAGGGAAUUUGCACCAUUGCGGUAAAAAUCAAUCAAAGUGAGUCCCGCCUUAGGACCUUAUGUUGUGGCCCCACAUUGUAGAGUGCCGUGUCAAAAUCUGAUUUCAAGACGUUUAUAUUGUUUCCACAGUGUGCAUGACUGAGAAAAUAUUCCAUCUUAAAUCCCUAAGCAACACAUGUGGUUUUUCGUUAUCAUACUAUGACCAGUUAUGAGAUUAAUGCACGUUCAUGUGUUCAUGGCAUUUACUUCGGAGGAGCUGAAUAAUAAAACAACAGAUGAAUGCGACUACAUUGAUUUGACUCAUAGCAGAUGUAUGAAUCAUAGCAUAUUUCUGUAAAAAAUGUGAAAAAAAACUUCAAUCUGAUUCUGCUGCUGGUCAACUACGACAUCCCAUGUCUUCAUACAGAAAUCCAUGUUGUCAUUGUGUCAAAAUCCCAACACUUUUGUAAAAUGCCUCUUCCCAUUUUGUUUUCACACAUGUAUUUACUGCCCACACGGAUCACCUCAUUUCCUGUGGGCCAUCAGGACAAAUUACAACUGACUUGUGUCUUGAUGAAAAAUUGAAGAGGAAAAUUGUCUGCACAUUUAAACUUGAUAUUCAUCUUGCGACAGGGUGCCACUGCCUGCUUUCACAGAGGUGCGAGGCCAUCUUUAUAUGGAGGAGAACAAACAGAAUCAUAAUGUCAUAUUUAUAAUAUCUGAUCAUAUUAUCAGAUAUUAUGAAUAUUAUGACUUAAUUGUGAGGCUGGCUGUUUAAUUGGACCACCCUCCUCCAGUGCACAACGGUCACAUUUAAAUGUAUCUGCUUGGGUUUACUUUCCCUGCAGUAGCACUAGGGGGAACCAAAUAGCUUCCACGGAUGCAGAGAAGAACACAUUUCAUAGUAUUGUGUUUCCCCACGAUUGGGAUAAUUAGACAACGAGAACACACAUAUUUAAACUACUAUUAAUAAUAAAAGACGAAUGAAAAGAUGCCCACGGUUUAUUCCGCGGUCAACACGCCAAAAAA